GCCCCCUUAGCUCAGAGGAUAGAGCAUCGGCCUCCGAAGCCGGGAGCCCAGGUUCGAGUCCUGGAGGGGGCA
rnacentral:tRNA from 2 species